UUCUUCCUGAAUUAGUUCUUCUAGUACAUGAAUUAACCUCUCAGUCAAUGUAUUGAUGUUCAGUUAUUUAGCACCAAAAAUGAUAUAUGUCCCGCUCCAAUUUGCCUUUACCUAGAUUCUAUGAUUAGGUACGAAUUUUUUCUUAAGGAACCGUGAUGAAUAGUCCACCUCUUCAGAGGAUAUUGUUCUCAAUUAUGACUUUCUAAUACAUGUCAACGGUGGGAAACCAUUAAUAGAGGGGGGUAAGUCUUGUUUAAUUCAUAUUAUGCAUAACAGAUAACUCUCCGUAUGUUUUUAUUAAAUUGAUGCUAACUCUGGCUGGAUUAAUGAUAAAUUUUACGGAUUUUUCAUGAAAUGCCCCUGAGGUUUCACGAAAUUCACCAAAUACACCUGCAUGUUUUAAAAUACAUAGUAUACCCCUAUUUUUUAAAAUAAUGCACUAAAUACCCUCAAAGGCUAACGGACGUUAACGCCGUUAGUCAUUAGCACGAAUCAAUCUAAAUUAACAUAUAAUUAGUUAUCCAUUACUCCUAAUUAACUCAUUUAUUCCUAAUUAACAAACUAACCUUAAAAAAUAAUCCUUCUUCCUUUCUUUUUCCUCUCCACUUCCCUGCUUUCACUCUCCUCUAGCCAUUACUGAUAGCUUGGUACAUCUCCCCCACCACCACCAUCAAACAUCAUGAACCCAAACAUUAGUCCUGGUGUUCCCCAUAAAUAGUUAUUUACAUCAGUAAACACCAAAAAUCCAUCUCCCAGAAAACCCAUUUCUUGAUGUUGUUACUCACAUUUUCUCUCUCCUUCAAUAAUGGCAACAGAAACUCCUCAUGUUGAUUCUUCAUCUGAGUAUUCAAUCCCUUACUCUGAACUCUUCCCACUUGUUAAAUUCACGGGUUUUAGUUCCACCAAAUGGGGAUUUCUUAGGGUGAGGUGCUUUUGAUUCUUUUACCCAAUUCACUUUACUUGCCAAUUAUCAUGCUGUCAAAAUCAAACCUAAAAUCAACCUAGCUAAUUAAGUUGUGGGUAGCAAUUAAUGAUGAUGAAUUGAAACGGGCCACCCAAAAUUCCACCCAACAUUUCAUUAUCAUGAUGAAUUACUCCCCAGCUACCCACCGCUCUAUUAGUUAGGUUUGAUUUUGACAGUGGGGGGUUAUUGUUCUGGUUGUUUGUUUCGUCAAUUGAAUUUUGUUUAUUGCCGUCGUUUGAAUCAAAAACCAUUUUGUAGGAAAAAUUAAGUUUGGGUAUGUGAUUGAAUUUGGGAAUUAGGGUUCUUGGAUUUGCAAAAGUUGUUUUGUGUGGAUUUUGGUGGUGCUAAUUGAUGAUGGAAUGCCGGAGGUCGGAUAAUGGGGCAGUGAGUUGGUGGUGGUGGUUACUAGGCGCAGGAGAUCGAAGAGAAAGGAGCGGUAGCUUGGGUUGCUGGUCCGUUGGUGGUGGUGAACGAGAAGGUGGUUGGGGCGGCGAAGGGUCAGGAGAGAAUGUGAACGGUUGUAGUGGUGGACGGAUGAGCAAGAGGCUGACAUGGUGCAGGAGAUCGAAGAGAAAGGAGCAGUAGUAAUUGAAAGUGGGUUGAGAAUGAAAGAAGAGAGUGAAAGAAGAGAUAUUAAGGGAGGGGCAAUAUAGUAAUUUAGUAGGUUAAUUGUGGGUUAGGUAGUUAAUUAAGAGUUAAUAUUAACGGAGUUAGACUUCCGUUAAAAAUAAGGGUAUUUGGUGCAUUUUUUAAAAAAUAGGGGUAUACUAUGUAUUUUGAAACACGCAGGUGUAUUUGGUGAAUUUCGUGAAACCUCAGGGGCAUUUCAUGAAAAAUCCGUAAAUUUUAAUAGGGAAGCCUGCAACUAAUGGUCAUCUCUGCCCGUCGAUUUUCUUCUAACUUACAACACAUUUGUUCUCAAGGAGACUCUCAACAGUUGCAUCUGCAUCUGACUGUGCCUUAUCAACAACCUUAGUGGCUCUUUUCACCGUUUCCAGCAAGUUUGCAACUAUCUUACACCUCGUCAAACCUCUUGAACUCAGAGCACAUUUCCUUUUCAAGCAUUGGACAUAAUAAGGGGAAAUAUCUCAUUGGUACUGAUGGAUUCAUCACUGGAAGGACAAUAUAUAGAUGAGGAUGCUGCUACAAUGAUUGAAUUAGCAUAAAAAUGCCUUCAGUAUGAACCCAGGGAUCGACCUGACAUCAAAUUCCUUUUUGUAGCAGUAGAUCCCCUGCAAAAAAAAGGUUACAUCUCAUGUUCUGAUGGGGUUUCCGAAGAUUGCAGUAGUAGUGCCAAUAAUGACCUCUCCCCUAGGAAAGGCUUGUGAAAGCAUGGAUCUCACAGCUGUGCAUGACAUAUUGCUUAAAACUGGUUAACAAUGAGGUCAUUUCAGUUGCUCCGGAGAAUACUACAAAACUAGUGUUAUUUGUAACAAGGACCUUCGGCUGCUUUAUUAAAUACCAGUGUAAAAAAAACUGGUCAUUUGUACUUGUUGGUGGCUCAUAUUGGCAAGCUUCAAGAAAAGUUUAGCAACCAACUUAUUCAUUACAUUGUAAAGGAAGCCCCAAGGACGUUAAUCGUGAUAAUCUGAAGCUGAUCGCGUGUGAUAAAUAUUUAAGGUCGUCGGUGGUCUUUUCUCUUGCUUUAUUUCUUUUACAUUUAUUUGGUUAUAUUUUUAUUCUUAAAAGUUGUGUUUAUAUUUAGAAUUUGGUUGGAGAAACAAGUUUCAGAACUUAAUAUGUAAAGCGUUGUCUAUUUCAAUGAUAUCCAUCCAUCCAUUUUUUUAUAUAAAUGACAUUGUAGUUUCGAAUGGAAGUGAUGUAAUGUAUGGUUGGUGGUAUCGUGUUUUGUAAAGGCAUGGUGGUGGCACAGCUACUGCUCUAUUGCGGUUGCUGUUACACCUAGCUUACUGCUGUAUUAUUUUUUUAAAAAAAAUAAAACAAUUAGUAA